AGUGAACGCUGGCGGUAGGCCUAACACAUGCAAGUCGAACGGCAGCACAGUAAGAGCUUGCUCUUACGGGUGGCGAGUGGCGGACGGGUGAGGAAUACAUCGGAAUCUACUUUUUCGUGGGGGAUAACGUAGGGAAACUUACGCUAAUACCGCAUACGACCUACGGGUGAAAGCAGGGGAUCUUCGGACCUUGCGCGAUUGAAUGAGCCGAUGUCGGAUUAGCUAGUUGGCGGGGUAAAGGCCCACCAAGGCGACGAUCCGUAGCUGGUCUGGGAGGAUGAUCAGCCACACUGGAGCUGAGACACGGUCCAGACUCCUACGGGAGGGAGCAGUGGGGAAUAUUGGACAAUGGGCGCAAGCCUGAUCCAGCCAUACCGCGUGUGUGAAGAAGGCCUUCGGGUUGUAAAGCCCUUUUGUUGGGAAAGAAAAGCAGCAGGUUAAUACCCCGCUGUUCUGACGGUACCCAAAGAAUAAGCACCGGCUAACUUCGUG
rnacentral:rRNA from 1 species